CCUACGGGAGGCAGCAGUGAGGAAUAUUGGUCAAUGGGAGAGAUCCUGAACCAGCCAAGCCGCGUGAGGGAAGACGGCCCUAUGGGUUGUAAACCUCUUUUGUCGGAGAACAAAACCCGGGACGUGUCCCGUACUGCGUGUAUCCGAAGAAAAAGCAUCGGCUAACUCCGUGCCAGCAGCCGCGGUAAUACGGAGGAUGCGAGCGUUAUCCGGAUUUAUUGGGGUUAAAGGGUGCGUAGGCGGUCCGUUAAGUCAGCGGUAAAAUUGCGGGGCUCAACCCCGUCGAGCCGUUGAAACUGGCAGACUUGAGUUGGCGAGAAGUACGCGGAAUGCGCGGUGUAGCGGUGAAAUGCAUAGAUAUCGCGCAGAACUCCGAUUGCGAAGGCAGCGUACCGGCGCCAGACUGACGCUGAGGCACGAAAGCGUGGGGAUCGAACAGGAUUAGAUACCCCUGUAGUC
rnacentral:rRNA from 1 species